CCCAAAGCACCCCUGACUCACCACCACACUGUCCUUGCAGCCCCUCUGGUCACUUACUCACAAUGUACCCAUUAAAUAAAUCACCUUAUUACAUUUGGGAAGUGUUACAUCAGGGCCCAGGUAUCAUUAAUGAAGAAACAAACAUUCCCUGCCCCAUGGGAAGGAGAAGCUGCAGUUUCCACCUGAGACUGAAGGAGAAGUUCUUCAAACCGCUUCACAUAAAGAAACUAAGCUGUGCACAUAAUAAUGCUGAAAUAUUUAUUCAUGAACUAAAAAAUAUUUCCACACGGACAUGCAUGAGAAAAGUGGAGAAAGAUAUGCAAAAGCUAGAAAAAAUCUGCUACAUUUUGAAGAAAUCUUCAUCCAACGGCAAAAGCUGCUUAAAGAAGGCAAAAACCAAUUUCUCACAAUUUAAAGAGAGUCUGCAAGAAUUCCUGAGAUGGGUCAAUGAGAAGCUCAACUGCAGCAGCAUUGGGAGAAGCAAUUCAGCUUUGUACCUGGAUGGAAAAUGCAGCUGCCACGACCCCUGGAAAUCCCACAGAGCCUUGGGCUAGGGAAGAGCUACACAGGCAGUGAGGGUCUGGCUGGGAAGGGGAGGGGGAGAUGUGGCUGUUAUAAAAUAGAGUCUUUGCUAAUUAAUGGAAAUAUUCUGAUGCUAAUUAAUGUUAAAUUUUGAUGGCUGAUGCAAGGAGGCAAAUUAAAGCUGUACACAGAAAUUAAAGCUUUG
rnacentral:lncRNA from 1 species